rnacentral:rRNA from 1 species
CUGGUUUUGGUAAGCAGAACGGGCGAUUCGGGAUGAACCGGAAGCGGGAGAAGGGCCCGAGAUUGCGUCGACGCGGAUCCCGAAAAGGGCGUCGAUCCGUCGCGACAGCGGGACGGUGGUCAUGGAAGUCGAAAUCCGCUAAGAAGCGUGUAAAAAACGUACCCGCCCAACGGAUCGGCCCCGAAAAUUGAUGGCGCUCGAACGCAACCCUCGAACCCCGCCGACGGAGGCUAGGGGAGGCCCCGUCGAGUAGGCGGACGCGCGGGUCGCUUCGACGCUCUCGCGCGAGCGGGGGCGGAGCGGCCCGUGGUGCAGAUCUUGGUGGUAGUAGCGAUCACCCAGGCGAGAACCCUGAGGGCCGAAGUGGAGAAGGGUUUCUCGAGAACGGCACUCGCUCGAGAGUUAGUCGAUCCUAAGCUGCCGGCGGCAGCCACGAAACGGUCGAUCGGGCGCGAGCCCGGCAGCCACGACCGGGCAGCGAAAGGGAAUUGGGAACCUCCUUCCCAAACCCGGAACCGGAACGAGGGCGGCGACGCGAACGAAACGGCCGCGGAGACGGCGGCCGCGGCCCCGGAG